GUUCCCUGCAGACCAUUAAUGCCCCUUUUCCACUUGUACCUGCUCAACUUGAUUCUACUUGGUUACCAGGAUUUGAUGCGAGGGUUAGAGUAGGAUUAGGACCAGAGACUGGUACCUUGCUGGGGUUCAAAACACUAGGGACGGGGCUGAAAACGUGACAUCAGAAGACCAGUUUCUGAUCGACUAGAAGGAGGAGUCACUGGUUUUGUCACAAGAGAGACUCCCUCACAAGAACCAGAUCCGACUCAAGAGUGUAUUUUGGAGCUCAGUCCAACACAAAACCUCCCCAAAUGCUCAUCACUUCCUGUCUCUCCUUCAAGGUAAAGACACAGCUGGUUUCUGGCAUUCAACAUGAAGCCAUCUCUCGUCUUCAUCACCAUCGCCUUCUGGAUUGAAGGAGUCUACCUCAGCAAAGAAAAGCAAGUGUCUCAGUUUCCGGCGGACGUUCUGGUCCGACCGAACAACAAAGUCAACCUGACCUUCACUCAUUCGAUCCCGAGCUACGACACAAUCCUGUGGUAUCAGCGCUCACCGGGAGAAACUUCCCUGAAGCUGAUCGGCUACGUCUACUAUACAACCGUUAAUAUGGAGUCGGGUUUUGAACGGCACUUUCAGAUAAGCGGAGAUGGAGAGAAGUCAGCUCAUCUUCUCAACCUGAACCCGAGACACCCUGAAGACAGCGGAGAAUAUUUUGGGGCCACACGUAUAGACACAGCAUUAAAAGAGAGUGACUCUGCCAUACAAAAACCUUCAGAGUAAUCCAGCUGGCAACCGCAGCCCAGCAGGAAACCAGAGGCAUGUGACAGCAAAUGAAAGCUGAAGGGAAAAAUG